CCUACGGGAGGCAGCAGUGAGGAAUAUUGGUCAAUGGACGAGAGUCUGAACCAGCCAAGUAGCGUGAAGGAUGACUGCCCUAUGGGUUGUAAACUUCUUUUAUAUGGGAAUAAAAUGUUCCACGUGUGGGAUUUUGUAUGUACCAUAUGAAUAAGGAUCGGCUAACUCCGUGCCAGCAGCCGCGGUAAUACGGAGGAUCCGAGCGUUAUCCGGAUUUAUUGGGUUUAAAGGGAGCGUAGGUGGAUUGUUAAGUCAGUUGUGAAAGUUUGCGGCUCAACCGUAAAAUUGCAGUUGAAACUGGCAGUCUUGAGUACGGUAGAGGUGGGCGGAAUUCGUGGUGUAGCGGUGAAAUGCUUAGAUAUCACGAAGAACUCCGAUUGCGAAGGCAGUUCACUGGACUGCAACUGACGCUGAGGCUCGAAAGUGUGGGUAUCAAACAGGAUUAGAUACCCCAGUAGUC
rnacentral:rRNA from 1 species